rnacentral:rRNA from 1 species
UGGACAAGGUGCGAACGGUUCGGCUGUGCGCCGAUUAAAGUGGUACGUGAGCUGGGUUUAGUACGUCGUGAGACAGUUCGGUACCUAUCUGCCGUGGGUGUAGGAAGUUUGAGAGGAUCUGCCUUUAGUACGAGAGGACCGAGGUGGACGUACCCCUGGUGGACCAGUUGUCGUGCCAACGGCACAGCUGGGUAGCUAAGUACGGAAGGGAUAACCGCUGAAUGCAUCUAAGCAGGAAACCUACCUCAAAACUAGACUUCCCUAUUAGAGCCGUGGAAGACCACCACGUUGAUAGGUCGGGUGUGGAAGCACAGUAAUGUGUGUAGCUAACCGAUACUAAUAGCUCGAUUGAUUUACUUUG